UACAGAGGGUGCGAGCGUUGUCCGGAAUCACUGGGCGUAAAGGGUGCGUAGGUGGGUUGGUAAGUCAGUGGUGAAAUCUCCGUGCUUAACAUGGAAACUGCCAUUGAUACUACUGAUCUUGAAUUUUCAGGAGGUAAGCGGAAUAUGUCAUGUAGCGGUGAAAUGCUUAGAUAUGACAUAGAACACCAAUUGCGAAGGCAGCUUACUACAGGAAUAUUGACACUGAUGCACGAAAGCGUGGGGAUCAAACAGG
rnacentral:rRNA from 1 species